UUAAGCGACCAAGCGUACACGGUGGAUGCCCUGGCAGUCAGAGGCGAUGAAGGACGUGCUAAUCUGCGAAAAGCGCCGGUAAGGUGAUAUGAACCGUUAUAACCGGCGAUGUCCGAAUGGGGAAACCCAGUGUGACUCGUCACACUAUCAUUAACUGAAUCCAUAGGUUAAUGAGGCGAACCGGGGGAACUGAAACAUCUAAGUACCCCGAGGAAAAGAAAUCAACCGAGAUUCCCCCAGUAGCGGCGAGCGAACGGGGAGGAGCCCAGAGCCUGAAUCAGCAUGUGUGUUAGUGGAAGCGUCUGGAAAGGCGCGCGAUACAGGGUGACAGCCCCGUACACAAAAGCGCAUGUGCUGUGAGCUCGAUGAGUAGGGCGGGACACGUGGUAUCCUGUCUGAAUAUGGGGGGACCAUCCUCCAAGGCUAAAUACUCCUGACUGACCGAUAGUGAACCAGUACCGUGAGGGAAAGGCGAAAAGAACCCCGGCGAGGGGAGUGAAACAGAACCUGAAACCGUGUACGUACAAGCAGUGGGAGCCCCACCACUAAGCCAGUGGUGAACUCCACAUACGCAUCCUUUGCGGAAGAUGCGGUUAACGGAGCGAAAGCGACGUUCAACCGCAAAAGAAGCAGAGGGGGCUUAGUGGUGGGGUGACUGCGUACCUUUUGUAUAAUGGGUCAGCGACUUAUAUUCUGUAGCAAGGUUAACCGUAUAGGGGAGCCGGAGGGAAACCGAGUCUUAACCGGGCGUUAAGUUGCAGGGUAUAGACCCGAAACCCGGUGAUCUAGCCAUGGGCAGGUUGAAGGUUGGGUAACACUAACUGGAGGACCGAACCGACUAAUGUUGAAAAAUUAGCGGAUGACCUGUGGCUGGGGGUGAAAGGCCAAUCAAACCGGGAGAUAGCUGGUUCUCCCCGAAAGCUAUUUAGGUAGCGCCUCGUGAAUUCAUCUCCGGGGGUAGAGCACUGUUUCGGCCAGGGGGCCAUCCCGGCUUACCAACCCGAUGCAAACUGCGAAUACCGGAGAAUGUUAUCACGGGAGACACACGGCGGGUGCUAACGUCCGUCGUGAAGAGGGAAACAACCCAGACCGCCAGCUAAGGUCCCAAAGUCAUGGUUAAGUGGGAAACGAUGUGGGAAGGCCCAGACAGCCAGGAUGUUGGCUUAGAAGCAGCCAUCAUUUAAAGAAAGCGUAAUAGCUCACUGGUCGAGUCGGCCUGCGCGGAAGAUGUAACGGGGCUAAACCAUGCACCGAAGCUGCGGCAGCGACACUGUGUGUUGUUGGGUAGGGGAGCGUUCUGUAAGCCUGCGAAGGUGGCCUGUGAGGGUUGCUGGAGGUAUCAGAAGUGCGAAUGCUGACAUAAGUAACGAUAAUGCGGGUGAAAAACCCGCACGCCGGAAGACCAAGGGUUCCUGUCCAACGUUAAUCGGGGCAGGGUGAGUCGACCCCUAAGGCGAGGCCGAAAGGCGUAGUCGAUGGGAAACGGGUUAAUAUUCCCGUACCUGGUGUUACUGCGAAGGGGGACGGAGAAGGCUAUGUUGGCCGGGCGACGGUUGUCCCGGUUUAAGCGUGUAGGCUGGUUUUCCAGGCAAAUCCGGAAAAUCAAGGCUGAGGCGUGACGACGAGGCACUACGGUGCUGAAGCAACAAAUGCCCUGCUUCCAGGAAAAGCCUCUAAGCCUCAGGUAACAUCAGAUCGUACCCGAAACCGACACAGGUGGUCAGGUAGAGAAUACCAAGGCGCUUGAGAGAACCCGGGUGAAGGAACUAGGCAAAAUGGUGCCGUAACUUCGGGAGAAGGCACGCUGACAUGUAGGUGAAGCGGUUUACCCGUGGAGCUGAAGUCAGUCGAAGAUACCAGCUGGCUGCAACUGUUUAUUAAAAACACAGCACUGUGCAAACACGAAAGUGGACGUAUACGGUGUGACGCCUGCCCGGUGCCGGAAGGUUAAUUGAUGGGGUCAGCGCAAGCGAAGCUCCUGAUCGAAGCCCCGGUAAACGGCGGCCGUAACUAUAACGGUCCUAAGGUAGCGAAAUUCCUUGUCGGGUAAGUUCCGACCUGCACGAAUGGCGUAAUGAUGGCCAGGCUGUCUCCACCCGGGACUCAGUGAAAUUGAACUCGCUGUGAAGAUGCAGUGUACCCGCGGCAAGACGGAAAGACCCCGUGAACCUUUACUAUAGCUUGACACUGAACACUGGUCCUUGAUGUGCAGGAUAGGUGGGAGGCUUUGAAGUGUGGACGCCAGUCUGCAUGGAGCCGUCCUUGAAAUACCACCCUUUAAUGGCUGGUGUUCUAACGUAGACCCGUGAACCGGGUUGCGGACAGUGUCUGGUGGGUAGUUUGACUGGGGCGGUCUCCUCCUAAAGCGUAACGGAGGAGCACGAAGGUUGGCUAAUCCUGGUCGGACAUCAGGAGGUUAGUGCAAUGGCAUAAGCCAGCUUGACUGCGAGCGUGACGGCGCGAGCAGGUGCGAAAGCAGGUCAUAGUGAUCCGGUGGUUCUGAAUGGAAGGGCCAUCGCUCAACGGAUAAAAGGUACUCCGGGGAUAACAGGCUGAUACCGCCCAAGAGUUCAUAUCGACGGCGGUGUUUGGCACCUCGAUGUCGGCUCAUCACAUCCUGGGGCUGAAGUAGGUCCCAAGGGUAUGGCUGUUCGCCAUUUAAAGUGGUACGCGAGCUGGGUUUAGAACGUCGUGAGACAGUUCGGUCCCUAUCUGCCGUGGGCGCUGGAGAACUGAGGGGGGCUGCUCCUAGUACGAGAGGACCGGAGUGGACGCAUCACUGGUGUUCGGGUUGUCAUGCCAAUGGCACUGCCCGGUAGCUAAAUGCGGAAGAGAUAAGUGCUGAAAGCAUCUAAGCACGAAACUUGCCCCGAGAUGAGUUCUCCCUGAGACUUUAGUCUCCUGAAGGAACGUUGAAGACGACGACGUUGAUAGGCCGGGUGUGUAAGCGCAGCGAUGCGUUGAGCUAACCGGUACUAAUGAACCGUGAGGCUUAACCUU
rnacentral:rRNA from 1 species